AUACGGAGGGUGCAAGCGUUAAUCGGAAUUACUGGGCGUAAAGCGCACGCAGGCGGUUUGUUAAGUCAGAUGUGAAAUCCCCGGGCUCAACCUGGGAACUGCAUCUGAUACUGGCAAGCUUGAGUCUCGUAGAGGGGGGUAGAAUUCCCGGUGUAGCGGUGAAAUGCGUAGAGAUCUGGAGGAAUACCGGUGGCGAAGGCGGCCCCCUGGACGAAGACUGACGCUCAGGUGCGAAAGCGUGGGGAGCAAACAGGAUUAGAUACCCUGGUAGUCCACGCCGUAAACGAUGUCGACUUGGAGGUUGUGCCCUUGAGGCGUGGCUUCCGGAGCUAACGCGUUAAGUCGACCGCCUGGGGAGUACGGCCGCAAGGUUAAAACUCAAAUGAAUUGGCGGGG
rnacentral:rRNA from 1 species